rnacentral:rRNA from 1 species
CCCUUAGAGUUUGAUCCUGGCUCAGAUUGAACGCUGGCGGCAGGCCUAACACAUGCAAGUCGAGCGGUAGCACAGAGAGCUUGCUCUCGGGUGACGAGCGGCGGACGGGUGAGUAAUGUCUGGGAAACUGCCUGAUGGAGGGGGAUAACUACUGGAAACGGUAGCUAAUACCGCAUAAUGUCGCAAGACCAAAGUGGGGGACCUUCGGGCCUCAUGCCAUCAGAUGUGCCCAGAUGGGAUUAGCUAGUAGGUGGGGUAACGGCUCACCUAGGCGACGAUCCCUAGCUGGUCUGAGAGGAUGACCAGCCACACUGGAACUGAGACACGGUCCAGACUCCUACGGGAGGCAGCAGUGGGGAAUAUUGCACAAUGGGCGCAAGCCUGAUGCAGCCAUGCCGCGUGUGUGAAGAAGGCCUUCGGGUUGUAAAGCACUUUCAGCGGGGAGGAAGGCGGUGAG